rnacentral:tRNA from 1 species
GGCGGGAUGGCGGAACUGGUAGACGCGCUAGUUUCAGGUACUAGUGUCUAUUACAGACUUAUGGGUUCGAGUCCCAUUCCCGUCACCA